GGUUUAUGCGGUAGUGUCGUASUAACNCGUUAAGUGUCCRCCUGGGGAGUACGGUDGCAAGGCURAAADUDAAAGAWAUUHACGGGGGKNWGACAACGGUGGAGCAUGCGGUKUAAUUCGACGCAACGCGAAGAACCUUACCUGGGCUUGAACGGCGGUGGUACGGACCCGAAAGGGCGAGGACCCUGGUUUCCAGGGAGCCGGCAGAGGUGCUCAUGGCUGUCGUCAGCUCGUGUCGUGAGAUGUUGGGUUAAGUCCCGCAACGAGCGCAACCCUGCACUUAGUUGCCAGCGAGUCAUBUCGGGCACUCUAAGUGGACUGCCUCGGAUAACGGGAGGAAGGUGGGGAUGACGUCAAGUCAGCAUGGCCUUUAUGUCCAGGGCUACACACGGCUACAAUGGGCGGUAKAGAGGGAUGCAAAGCCGCAAGGUAGAGCCAAUCCCUAAAACCUCCUCAGYUCAGAUUGCAGGCUGCAACUCGCCUGCAUGAAGGCGGAAUCGCUAGUAAUCCGGAUCASUACGCCGCGGUGAAUACGUUCUCGGGCCUUGUACACACCGCCCGUCACAUCCGAAAGCUGGUUGUGCCCGAAGUCGCUGUGCUAACCGCAAGGAGGCAGGCGCCUAAGGUUGGUCGGUGAUUGGGGUG
rnacentral:rRNA from 1 species